rnacentral:rRNA from 1 species
UACGGAAGGGGACUAGCGUUGUUCGGAAUACUGGGCGUAAAGCGCACGUAGGCGGAUCUUAAGUCAGGGGUGAAUCCUGGAGCUCAACUCCAGAACUGCCUUUGAUACUGGGGAUCUCGAGUCCGGAAGAGGUGAGUGGAACUCCGAGUGUAGAGGUGAAAUUCGUAGAUAUUCGGAAGAACACCAGUGGCGAAGGCGGCUCACUGGUCCGGUACUGACGCUGAGGUGCGAAAGCGUGGGAGCAACAGG